AGAGUUUGAUCCUGGCUCAGGACGAUUUCUGGCGGCGUGCCUAAUACAUGCAAGUCGAGCGAGCUUGCCUAGAUGAUUUUAGUGCUUGCACUAAAUGAAACUAGAUACAAGCGAGCGGCGGACGGGUGAGUAACACGUGGGUAACCUGCCCAAGAGACUGGGAUAACACCUGGAAACAGAUGCUAAUACCGGAUAACAACACUAGACGCAUGUCUAGAGUUUGAAAGAUGGUUCUGCUAUCACUCUUGGAUGGACCUGCGGUGCAUUAGCUAGUUGGUAAGGUAACGGCUUACCAAGGCAAUGAUGCAUAGCCGAGUUGAGAGACUGAUCGGCCACAUUGGGACUGAGACACGGCCCAAACUCCUACGGGAGGCAGCAGUAGGGAAUCUUCCACAAUGGACGAAAGUCUGAUGGAGCAACGCCGCGUGAGUGAAGAAGGGUUUCGGCUCGUAAAGCUCUGUUGGUAGUGAAGAAAGAUAGAGGUAGUAACUGGCCUUUAUUCGACGGUAAUUACUUAGAAAGUCACGGCUAACUACGUGCCAGCAGCCGCGGUAAUACGUAGGUGGCAAGCGUUGUCCGGAUUUAUUGGGCGUAAAGCGAGUGCAGGCGGUUCAAUAAGUCUGAUGUGAAAGCCUUCGGCUCAACCGGAGAAUUGCAUCAGAAACUGUUGAACUUGAGUGCAGAAGAGGAGAGUGGAACUCCAUGUGUAGCGGUGGAAUGCGUAGAUAUAUGGAAGAACACCAGUGGCGAAGGCGACUUUCUGGACUGUACCUGACGCUGAGGCGCGAAAGCGUGGGUAGCGAACGGGAUUAGAUACCCCGGUAGUCCACGCCGUAAACGAUGAAUACUAGGUGUAGGAGGUAUCGACUCCUUCUGUGCCGCAGCAAACGCAAUAAGUAUUCCGCCUGGGGACUACGGUCGCAAGACUAAAACUCAAAGGAAUUGACGGGGACCCGCACAAGCGGUGGAGCAUGUGGUUUAAUUCGACGCAACGCGAAGAACCUUACCAGGGCUUGACAUCCCUCGCUACCUGCGGAAACGUGGGGUUCUGCCAGUUUACUGGCGGACGAGGAGACAGGUGGUGCAUGGUUGUCGUCAGCUCGUGUCGUGAGAUGUUGGGUUAAGUCCCGCAACGAGCGCAACCCCUACGUCCAGUUGCCGGCACGUUAAGGUGGGAACUCUGGAGGAACUGCCGGUGACAAACCGGAGGAAGGUGGGGAUGACGUCAAAUCAUCAUGCCCUUUAUGUUCUGGGCUACACACGUGCUACAAUGGCCGGUACAGAGGGCGGCGAAGCCGCGAGGUGGAGCGAAUCCCAAAAAGCCGGUCUAAGUUCGGAUUGCAGGCUGCAACCCGCCUGCAUGAAGUCGGAAUCGCUAGUAAUCGCGAGUCAGCAUAUCGCGGUGAAUACGUUCCCGGGUCUUGUACACACCGCCCGUCA
rnacentral:rRNA from 1 species